UACGUAGGGUGCAAGCGUUGUCCGGAAUUAUUGGGCGUGAAGAGCUCGUAGGCGGUCUGUCGCGUCCGUUGUGAAAACUCGAGGCUCAACCUCGGGCUUGCAGUGGAUACGGGCAGACUAGAGUGCGGUAGGGGAGACUGGAAUUCCUGGUGUAGCGGUGGAAUGCGCAGAUAUCAGGAGGAACACCGAUGGCGAAGGCAGGUCUCUGGGCCGCAACUGACGCUGAGGAGCGAAAGCAUGGGGAGCGAACAGG
rnacentral:rRNA from 1 species